rnacentral:rRNA from 1 species
UCUUAAUCCAACAUCGAGGUCGCAACCCAUUUUGUCGAUAUGAACUCUCAAAAAUGAUUACGCUGUUAUCCCUAAGGUAACUUUAUCUUAUGAUCAUAAAUUAUGGAUCAAAUAAACAUAAAUCAAUGAUUUAAUCAUGAAGAGUUUAAUUAUUCUUCAAGUCACCCCAACUAAACAUUUAAAAAUUUAUACUUAAAAAUAAACUAAAAUAAUAUAAAUUUUAAAAAUGUUAAGCUCUAUAGGGUCUUCUCGUCCUCAAGGAAAAUUUAAGCCUUUUAACUUAAAAGUUAAAUUCUAAAACUUAUUAAGAGACAGUUAAUUUCUCGUCAAACCAUUCAUACAAGCCCCUAAUUAAGAAACUAAUGAUUAUGCUACCUUUGCACGGU